GGAGUCUUGGCGCAAUGGUAGCGCGUUGGUUUUCGGUUUGAAAACAUGUUCACCAAAGGUUGAGGGAUCGAGACCGUAAGUUGACA